GUCUACGGCCAUGCCACCCUUAACAGGCCCAAUCCUUUCUGAUCUCAGAAGCUAAGCAGGGUCAGGCCUGGUUAGUACUUGGAUGGGAGACCACCUAGGAAGCCCGGAUGCUGUAGGUG
rnacentral:rRNA from 1 species